rnacentral:ncRNA from 1 species
ACUUAUUCUCAGGGCAGGGUGAAAUUCCCUACCGGCGGUAAUUUCGCAUUCAGCGGAAAAGCCCGCGAGCGCCUGCUUCGGCAGGGUCAGCAGAUCCGGUGAGAAACCGGAGCCGACGGUGACAGUCCGGAUGGGAGAGAAUAAGG